AGAAUCAACGCUGGCGGCGUGCCUAACACAUGCAAGUCGCACGAGAAAGGGGAGCAAUCCCUGAGUACAGUGGCGCACGGGUGAGUAACACGUGAAUAAUCUACCUCCGAGUGGGGAAUAACUGAGAGAAAUCUUAGCUAAUACCGCAUAACACUUACGAGUCAAAGCAGCAAUGCGCUUGGAGAGGAGUUCGCGGCAGAUUAGUUAGUUGGCGGGGUAAUGGCCCACCAAGACGAUGAUCUGUAUCCGGCCUGAGAGGGCGCACGGACACACUGGAACUGAAACACGGUCCAGACUCCUACGGGAGGCAGCAGUGGGGAAGUUUGCGCAAUGGGGGAAACCCUGACGCAGCAACGCCGCGUGGAGGAUGAAGCCCCUUGGGGUGUAAACUCCUUUCGAUCGGGAAGAUAAUGACGGUACCGAUAUAAGAAGCCCCGGCUAACUUCGUGCCAGCAGCCGC
rnacentral:rRNA from 1 species